rnacentral:rRNA from 1 species
GCUACCCCGCCAUCUCAGCGGAGAAGCAGCAUGGCUUCCACCGAGCUGCUUCAGCUGGAGCAUGUCUUGACGGCUCCUGCCAGCUAUCCCGUGGAUGGUAUCACGGAGUCUCAAAGUUGCCACAUUAUGGCGCGAUGGAUGAAUUUGAAGGUCAAGGCGGCUGUUGGCCAAGUUUAUCCUAGUGGACCCGGCACAACUUAUCACUGCCAGCCGAUUUCAGAAGGAUAUGCUAAGGUAAUGGUGGAUGAAAUAACGGAGGGAUUUGAGGACCUCCCGCUUGACAACCCUACCGGUGAAGGGGAGACUAGGCUGGGUUCUGCUCUGAAGACUCCAUGCCUAUGGCGGAAGGAGAUCAUCAACCUUCCAAACUGGACGCCUCCGCCUCCUCCUCCUCCUCCGGCGAGUCAGGGCACUCCACCUCCUCCACCGCCUCCUCCUCCGGCGAGUGACGAUCAGGGCACGCGUGGCGGCACUCCGCCUCCUUCUCCGGCACAUGGCGGCACUCCGCCUCCUUCUCCGCCUGCGCUGGCGCUCCCGAGCAGCCAGCAGCCUCCUCCUUCUCCGCCUCGCCAGCAAGGGCAGAAGAGACCCGCCGCCGCCCCGGCUGCUCCGGCGCGUCGUACUCCUUCUCCUUCGCCUCGUAAGCAAGCACGAAAGAAGACAGACGCCGCACCCGCUCCGUCUGCUCUGGCGUCUAACAGCACAACCAGAGGCGGGAGGCAAUACAAAUACGGUUCAUCAUCUCUCAAGCCUCUAGAGAAGUUACCGUACGAGAGGUCCGAGGAGGAAAACAAUACGAUUGUGCGGACCCACAUGAAGGAGUUCUUUGAAGGGGUGAAAGCAAAGAGACAUCCACCUCCGGAGGAGAAGGUAGAUCCGGUGAAAGCAAAGCACACUAUCGAUGCCCUGAGGAAACCACCAAAGUCUCCGCCGAGAACCAACUAUGAGCGCAUUACUGAACAGACAUAUCUCCAAGCCAAGCGGUCGGGAACUACUGUCAGUGAUAAAAGGUUAAAAGAACGAGCAAAGGGGAAAAAAAUUGCCCAGCUCGGCGAACAAGCACAGCAAUCGUGCCCCCCACUCAAUGUGCCCAAUGCUCCGGGGACGGUGCCCGGUUAUGGCAAUCUUGAAGAUUACCUGCCUGACGAUGCACUUCCUGAUUUCAUGGAGGUGGAUGAACACAGAUACGAGUACGGGAAGCCUCUCGUCAAAGAUGAAAAAUCUCUGACAACAAUGAUGCGAAGAUUCCAUAGUUGGUACAUGAAAAC